rnacentral:rRNA from 1 species
GUUUGAUCAUGGCUCAGGAUGAACGCUAGCGGCAGGCUUAAUACAUGCAAGUCGAGGGGCAGCAUGGUGUAGCAAUACACUGAUGGCGACCGGCAAACGGGUGCGGAACACGUACAGAACCUUCUUCGAGCGGGGAAUAGCCCAGAGAAAUUUGGAUUAAUACCCCAUAGUAUUAUGGAGUGGCAUCACUUUGUAAUUAAAGAUUUAUCACUUGAAGAUGGCUGUGCGGCUGAUUAGGUAGUUGGCGGGGUAACGGCCCACCAAGCCUGCGAUCAGUAACUGGUGUGAGAGCACGACCAGUCACACGGGCACUGAGACACGGGCCCGACUCCUACGGGAGGCAGCAGUAAGGAAUAUUGGUCAAUGGACGAAAGUCUGAACCAGCCAUGCCGCGUGGAGGAUGAAGGUCCUCUGGAUUGUAAACUUCUUUUAUAUGGGACGAAAAAGGCCUUUCUAGGUCGUCUGACGGUACCAUAUGAAUAAGCACCGGCUAACUCCGUG